rnacentral:sRNA from 1 species
AACUUAUUUAAUGCUUUAAACAUUGAGGUUGUUUCCAAUGUUUUAUUAUAGACACUGUCCUAUAAUUACCGUAAAUUCUUUAUAAGUAGAAUUUCUGGGUCAGCAUAUGUAUAGUAUGUAUACAGUUUCAAUUUGGAUGGUUAUGCCAAAUUACCUUCCAAAAAGACCACCUUUGGUUUCCACUCUCACCAGCAAUAUCUGAGCACCUGUUUCCCACAGCACUCAAGCAUCAAGCAGUCGUGCAUCAAGCAUCCAGCAGGCCCGAUCCCCGCAGGCCACCUACAGGGAAAGGCCACAGCUGCGCCCACACCUAUGAGACCUGGGAUGCCCAGCUCAAAUUGAUGGGUUUUGCCCACAGUUGGCUCCUCACUCCUCUGAUCUUCCCUCUACACAGCCCUGGGCCCCUGGCCUUGAAAAUUGCUGGGCGAAUUGCAGAAUUCUUCCCUGAUGCAGUACUUAUUAUGUUGGAUAAUCAGAAACUGGUGCCUCAGCCUCGUGUGCCCCCGGUCAUCGUCCUGGAGAACCAAGGU